CCGGCGACCGGCGCACGGGUGAGUAACACGUAUGCAACCUGCCCUCUUCAGGGGGACAACCUUCCGAAAGGGAGGCUAAUCCCGCGUAUAUCGGUUUCGGGCAUCCGAGAUCGAGGAAAGAUUCAUCGGAAGAGGAUGGGCAUGCGUCGCAUUAGCUAGACGGCGGGGUAACGGCCCACCGUGGCGACGAUGCGUAGGGGUUCUGAGAGGAAGGUCCCCCACACUGGUACUGAGACACGGACCAGACUCCUACGGGAGGCAGCAG
rnacentral:rRNA from 1 species